GCCAUCCUCGGUCAGGCGGCACUUGCUGAGUGUAAGCAUAUCAAUAAGCGGAGG
rnacentral:rRNA from 1 species